UACGAAGGGGGGCUAGCGUUGCUCGGAAUCACUGGGCGUAAAGCGCACGUAGGCGGACUCUUAAGUCGGUGGUGAAAUCCUGGAGCUCAACUCCAGAACUGCCUUCGAUACUGAGAGUCUCGAGUCCGGGGAGAGGUGAGUGGAACUGCGAGUGUAGAGGUGAAAUUUCGUAGAUAUUCGCAAGAACACCAGUGGCGAAGGCGGCUCACUGGCCCCGGUACUGACGCUGAGGUGCGAAAGCGUGGGGGAGCAAACAGGG
rnacentral:rRNA from 1 species